GAGAAUGUGAGUGAGUGAUGAGUGAAUGUGAAAGCCUAGGACAUUACUGUACACUACUGUAAACUUUAUAAACACUGCACACCAAGGCUAUACUUAACUUA